AUUGAACGCUGGCGGCAGGCCUAACACAUGCAAGUCGAGCGGAUGAAGGGAGCUUGCUCCUGGAUUCAGCGGCGGACGGGUGAGUAAUGCCUAGGAAUCUGCCUGGUAGUGGGGGAUAACGUCCGGAAACGGGCGCUAAUACCGCAUACGUCCUGAGGGAGAAAGUGGGGGAUCUUCGGACCUCACGCUAUCAGAUGAGCCUAGGUCGGAUUAGCUAGUUGGUGGGGUAAAGGCCUACCAAGGCGACGAUCCGUAACUGGUCUGAGAGGAUGAUCAGUCACACUGGAACUGAGACACGGUCCAGACUCCUACGGGAGGAAGCAGUGGGGAAUAUUGGGCAAUGGGCGAAAGCCUGAUCCAGCCAUGCCGCGUGUGUGAAGAAGGUCUUCGGAUUGUAAAGCACUUUAAGUUGGGAGGAAGGGCAGUAAGUUAAUACCUUGCUGUUUUGACGUUACCAACAGAAUAAGCACCGGCUAACUUCGUG
rnacentral:rRNA from 1 species